CACGUAGUUAGCCGGAGCUUUCUUCACAGGUACAGUCUUUUUUCUUCCCUGUGGACAAUAGUUUACAAUCCGAAAACCUUACUUCCUAUACGCGGCGUCACUGCGUCAGAGUUUCCUCCAUUGCGCAAUAUUCCCGACUGCUGCCUCCCGUAGGAGUCUGGGCCGUAUCUCAGUCCCAAUGUGGCCGUUCAACCUCUCAGUCCGGCUACUGAUCGUCGCCUUGGUAGGCUUUUACCCCACCAACUAGCUAAUCAGACGCAAGCUCAUCUAUCAGCGGAUUGCUCCUUUCCCACUAUUAUCAUGCGAUAAUUAUGGCAUAUGCGGUAUUAGCAAUGAUUUCUCACUGUUAUUCCCCUCUGAUAGGCAGAUUUCUUACGUGUUACUCACCAGUCCGCCACUAACCGCUCCUCUUGCAAGCAAGAGGUUAAGUUCGUUCGACUUGCAUGUCUUAUGUGCGCCGCCAGCGUUGAUCCUGAGCCAGGAUA
rnacentral:rRNA from 1 species